rnacentral:rRNA from 1 species
AAAAUAGGUGCCCGUACCGCAAACCGACACAGGUAGUCAAGAUGAGAAUUCUAAGGUGAGCGAGCGAACUCUCGUUAAGGAACUCGGCAAAAUGACCCCGUAACUUCGGGAGAAGGGGUGCUCUUUAGGGUUAACGCCCAGAAGAGCCGCAGUGAAUAGGCCCAAGCGACUGUUUAUCAAAAACACAGGUCUCUGCUAAACCGUAAGGUGAUGUAUAGGGGCUGACGCCUGCCCGGUGCUGGAAGGUUAAGAGGAGUGGUUAGCUUCUGCGAAGCUACGAAUCGAAGCCCCAGUAAACGGCGGCCGUAACUAUAACGGUCCUAAGGUAGCGAAAUUCCUUGUCGGGUAAGUUCCGACCCGCACGAAAGGCGUAACGAUUUGGGCACUGUCUCAACGAGAGACUCGGUGAAAUCAUAGUACCUGU